rnacentral:rRNA from 1 species
UAGUCUGCAACCCGACUACAUGAAGCUGGAAUCGCUAGUAAUCGCGGAUCAGAAUGCCGCGGUGAAUACGUUCCCGGGCCUUGUACACACCGCCCGUCAAGCCAUGGAAGCCGGGGGUGCCUGAAGUGUGCAGCCGCAAGGAGCGCCCUAAGGUAAAACCGGUGACUGGGGCUAAGUCGUAACAAGGUAGC